rnacentral:rRNA from 1 species
GUCGCGCGAGAAAGGGGGGGCAACUCCCUGAGUAAAGCGGCGCACGGGUGAGUAAUGCGUAGGUGACCUACCCUUGAGACCAGGAUAACCUACCGAAAGGUGGGCUAAUACCGGAUAUGACCACGGGGAUCUCGAUCCCUGAGGUGAAAGGUGGCCUCUGUUUACAUGCUACCGCUUAUCGAUGGGCCUGCGCGCCAUUAGCUAGUUGGUGGGGUAAUGGCCCACCAAGGCGAUGAUGGCUAGCUGGUCUGAGAGGAUGGCCAGCCACACUGGGACUGAAACACGGCCCAGACUCCUACGGGAGGCAGCAGUGGGGGAUAUUGCGCAAUGGGCGAAAGCCUGACGCAGCGACGCCGCGUGGGUGAUGAAGGCCUUCGGGUCGUAAAGCCCUGUCGAGGGGAAAGAAACGGUCUCGACCUAACACGUCGGGGCCCUGACGGUACCCCUAAAGGAAGCACCGGCUAACUCCGUGCCAGCAGCCGCGGUAAUACGGAGGGUGCGAGCGUUGUUCGGAAUCACUGGGCGUAAAGGGCGUGUAGGCGGUCCGCUAAGUCUGAUGUGAAAGCCCGGGGCUCACCCCCGGAAGGGCAUUGGAAACUGACGGACUCGAGUCCCGAAGAGGAGGGUGGAAUUCCUGGUGUAGCGGUGAAAUGCGUAGAUAUCAGGAGGAACACCGGUGGCGAAGGCGGCCCUCUGGACGGUGACUGACGCUGAGACGCGAAAGCGUGGGGAGCAAACAGGAUUAGAUACCCUGGUAGUCCACGCUGUAAACGAUGAGCACUAGGUGUCGUGGGUAUUGACCCCCGCGGUGCCGUAGCUAACGCAUUAAGUGCUCCGCCUGGGGACUACGGCCG